rnacentral:rRNA from 1 species
UUGUUCGCCAAACAACUACGAGUAAUACUUAAAACUUAAAAGACUUGACGGUACUUCACCCCGACCUAGAGGAGCCUGUCUAAUAACCGACAACCCACGAUUAACCCAACCACUUCUUGCCCAACAGUCUAUAUACCGCCGUCGCCAGCUUACCUUGUAAAAGAAAUAAAGUGAGCUAAACAGUAACACGCUAAAACGACAGGUCGAGGUGUAACCCAUGAAGGGGCCAAGAUGGGCUACAUUCUCCAACAGAGAAUACGAACAACACUAUGAAACUAAUGUUUGAAGGCGGAUUUAGCAGUAAGAUAAGAAUAAAAUACCUAACUGAACACAACGCAAUGAAGUGCGUACACACCGCCCGUCACCCC